CAACAGUUACUGAACCCUAUCAAACUCCGAAUGCCAUAUACUUGUACCCCGGCAGUCAGACUACGAAUGAUAAGAUCCGUGGUCAAAAGGGAAACAGCCCAGACCAUCAGCUAAGGUCCCAAAGUGUAAGUUAAGUGGGAAAGGAUGUGGGAUUUCUAAGACAACUAGGAUGUUGGCUUAGAAGCAGCCACUCAUUUAAAGAGUGCGUAAUAGCUCACUAGUCGAGAGAUCCUGCGCCGAAGAUGUAACGGGGCUCAAACUUACCACCGAAGCUAUGGAUGUGUACUUUGUACACGUGGUAGAGGAGCUUUCUGUACAGGUUGAAGUCAUACCGUAAGGAGUGGUGGACAGUACAGAAGUGAGAAUGCUGGCAUAAGUAGCGAAAAACAAGUGAGAAUCUUGUUGACCGAAUAUCUAAGGUUUCCUGGGGAAGGCUCGGCCUCCCAGGGUUAGUCGGGACCUAAGCCGAGGCCGAAAGGCGGAGGUGAUGGACAACUGGUUGAUAUUCCAGUACCACCAUAAUGCGUUUGACAAAUGGGA
rnacentral:rRNA from 1 species